rnacentral:lncRNA from 1 species
AGAGCUGUGUCCAGGAGCCGUCACCAUGUCGGAGAAAUUCGAGGUCACAAACCUGAACAUGAAAUCAGGGAUGUCCCUGAAGAUUAAAGGCAAGAUCCACAAUGAUGUUAACAGCUCACCCUUACCUUCCAAGACAAAGACUUCAAGGUGACGCUGCCUGAUGGACACUCGCUGACCUUCCCCAACAGGCUGGGCCACAACCACCUGCGCUACUUAAGCAUGGAUGGGCUCCAGAUCUCCUCCUUCAAGCUCGAGUGAGCAUCUCCUCAGAAGACCUUAGCCCCAAACCAGCUUCAGCCAGCCCUCCAGCAAGCCCCCACCAGAACCGCAGUCUUUAUAGGUUCUGCUCUUACUCACCGUUCACUCUGAACUCCUGCCCUAACUAAUUAACCCCUUCCCCAAGUUCAAGGCCAAAUAAAAGAAUCCAUUUUUAUUAUUUCCACAGCAAGAACUGUUAGCACUUUCCAUAAGUGUUAAUGCUCCCCGUCUUUGGUGCAGGGGAGGAAACUGAGGCACAGGGUAUAGCAUUGCCAAGAGAAGAGGACGGGAGGUGAUCCUGAGCCACCCUGUGCAUGGGAACCUGUCUCUCUCCGGGUGAUCUGAGCACCUGCCAAGCUGCCCCAUGGGAUUAUGGGGCAGAUACUGGUUCCUGGCACCUGGGGCAGGGGUGUUCCAGGAACUGGAGAUAAGGGUCCCACCUGGGCCUCUUAUCUUCCAACAUUCCAGGCUGGUUACUCAUUACCUCGUCUGGCCCCCCUCUCCUAGCUGGAGGGGGGUUGCUGGAAGGGGGUCCUCAACUUUCCAAACUCCCAGGAGGAUAAAGUACACCUCGGCAGGGGCCAAGGCCUGCCUCCUUGGGCAGACAGAUCUUACCAGAAAGGCUUUUACAAUCAGGCAUGGGAGGCAGCUCUGGGGUACACAUAAGAUAGAAUCUACUUAGAGGUCACACCUGACCUUUCUCAGGGAACUGAGGAGAAGCCUGGAACCAGCUAUUGAAAACACAGUGGUGGCCUUCUGCGGCAGCUCUCCAUGAGCAGGGGCAGGCAGUCCCACUCAGACAAUGGCCCUGUGUGGUCCUUGCCCCACCCCCACCCACCAGGGAAACAUCUUGGGGCACAAAGGCCAUACUGUCAGGCCACAGGGGGGUGGCAUAUGUUAUGACUAAAGGGCUAGUGGGCCUAGGGGCAUGGAGGGAGCUGGGUCAGGUCAGCAGGGACCCUCCCCACAUCCAAGCCUGGGCAACUCCCGUUGGGCAGGUGACCAUGUCUUGAGGACAGACGCAGUCGUUAAGGAAAUUAACUCAGCCCUUCUGUGUGAGCCCCUAGGCUGGCAGGACCUGGGCCCACGGCCAGUCUCUCACACCUUGACCUCGUCAUCCUCAUCAGCGUCAGCAAACUCAAAGGCAU